CCUACGGGUGGCAGCAGUGAGGAAUAUUGGUCAAUGGGCGCGAGCCUGAACCAGCCCAGUAGCGUGAAGGAUGACUGCCCUACGGGUUGUAAACUUCUUUUAUAAAGGAAUAAAGUGAGGCACGUGUGCCUUUUUGUAUGUACUUUAUGAAUAAGGAUCGGCUAACUCCGUGCCAGCAGCCGCGGUAAUACGGCAGCUCCGAUCGUUAUCCGGAUUUAUUGGGUUUAAAGGGAGCGUAGAUGGGAUGUUAAGUCAGUUGUGAAAGUUUGCGGCUCAACCGUGAAAUUGCAAUUGAUACUGGCAGGCUUGAGUACAGUUGAGGUAGGCGGAAUUCGUGGUGUAGCGGUGAAAUGCUUAGAUAUCACGAAGAACUCCGAUUGCGAAGGCAGCUUACUAAACUGCCACUGACAUUGAUGCUCGAAAGUGUGGGUAUCAAACAGGAUUAGAUACCCUAGUAGUC
rnacentral:rRNA from 1 species